rnacentral:rRNA from 1 species
UACAGAGGUCCCAAGCGUUGUUCGGAUUCACUGGGCGUAAAGGGUGCGUAGGUGGCAGGGUAAGUCGGAUGUGAAAUCUCCGAGCUCAACUCGGAAACUGCAUUGGAAACUACCCAGCUUGAGGGAUGGAAGGGGGACUGGAAUUCUUGGUGUAGCGGUGAAAUGCGCAGAUAUCAGGAGGAACACCAGCGGCGAAGGCGGCGCUCUGGGCUGGAACUGACGCUGAGGAGCGAAAGCGUGGGGAGCAAACAGG